GACGAACGCUGGCGGCGUGCCUAAUACAUGCAAGUUGAGCGCUGAAGGUUGGUACUUGUACCAACUGGAUGAGCAGCGAACGGGUGAGUAACGCGUGGGGAAUCUGCCUUUGAGCGGGGGACAACAUUUGGAAACGAAUGCUAAUACCGCAUAAAAACUUUAAACACAAGUUUUAAGUUUGAAAGAUGCAAUUGCAUCACUCAAAGAUGAUCCCGCGUUGUAUUAGCUAGUUGGUGAGGUAAAGGCUCACCAAGGCGAUGAUACAUAGCCGACCUGAGAGGGUGAUCGGCCACAUUGGGACGGAGACACGGCCCAAACUCCUACGGGAGGCAGCAGUAGGGAAUCUUCGGCAAUGGACGAAAGUCUGACCGAGCAACGCCGCGGGAGUGAAGAAGGGUUUCGGAUCGUAAAACUCUGUUGGUAGAGAAGAACGUUGGUGAGAGUGGAAAGCUCAUCAAGUGACGGUAACUACCCAGAAAGGGACGGCUAACUACGUG
rnacentral:rRNA from 1 species